AGGAGGUAGAUGGAAAAUAUGAGGGGGUGGCUCGGCAGAGGGGGGUUGUCAUUCAGUUCCCACCCUUGCCAACACAGCUUUUUCCUUCUCCUGCCAGAAAAGUCGACCACCAAUCUACUUGCCUUAUGGUGCACAGACCCGCACACGCACGCUCCCUGGUCGCGACCUUCCCCGGGAAUUGCCCACUGGAAAUGGUCAGGUCCGACGCAAUGCAGGCGGCGGUGCUCCUGGCAAAACUCCUCGGAUGGGUUUGCGUUUGUGCAGUCCCACGAUAAUAGGCUUCUGCCGCCAUGCUCUGCAUGCCAUCCUGCCCCUCCCGCAGGGGUCUCUCUGCAGGGGUGACCUAGCUUGUCUCCGCCGUUCUGGGAGAGAUGUGUACUUUAGGGAGAGCUCUGCAGUUUAGGAUCACCCGGGUUUGUUCUAUGUACUGUUACGGCAAGACGGUGGUGCUAGGACUCUGUCCCUCCUUGACCUAGGAUGGGAGUUGGAAGUUUUCUUACGGUCAGAUUAUUUUGAAAUACGGAGAAUGCGAUUUGUGGGCAACCAAAGGCUUCGUGGGUUUGUGGGGUUGUCUGCCAACUUGGUGCUAAUUGGGACGAAUCUGAGAAGCAAGUCGCCUGCCCACCUCCCACCUACGUCCCUCCUCCCGCGGGCCCUUUUUCUCGGCCUAGGGCCUCCACAGAGCCACUUGCGAGGCUUGCAACUUCUUCAGGAAAGGGUCGGUACAGAGGCGCAGGGCAGCAGGAGCCGGGGGCGUGCGCCGUGCACUCGGAGUGCGGCUGCAGCUGCUCCCCCAGAGGCGCUGCGCGUUGGCGCCCGCAGCGCGCCAGAAGGCAGCCAGCAGCUCUGGUACUUCUGCUACGGAGUCUCCAAGGAGGAUGCAAGAAUCCGGAGUCGCCUCUGAUUGGUUCCCCUGCUGCAUCGGGACCACCCUUCCCACCACCGCGGAUCGCGUUGCUUCCCGCCUACACCAGCCACCACUUUAAUCAAAGCCAAGGAUUGUAUCCUCCCCACUCUAUUGUGGCUAGUGGAAAGCAGGGGCCUGUGCGGGGUUGCGCAGGCACUGCAAGGAUCCUGGGUACGGAACUAGUUAAAUCCCUCCUCCAGAUUCAGACUCUAGCAUUCCUUUCAGAAAAAGAAAAGUACUUGUUCGCUCCACUCCUCCAGAUCCAUAUCCUCAGCUUUUCUUUUACGAACAGUGAGUUCUCCUAAAUUCUUCCGUCCCAUAUUAAACGCUGCCCUUUCCCCACCUUCCACACACAAUAUUCCUGCAUCCUACUCACUCCAGGGUUCCCUGCCUUUCUGCACUACUGUUCUAUUACACGGAGGGAGGGAGGGAGGGAGGAAGGGAGGAAAGAAGGAAGGAAGGAAGGAAGGAAGGAAGGAAGGAAGGAAGGAAGGAAGGAAGGAAGGAAGGAAGGAAGGAAGGAAGGAAGGAAGGAAGGAGCUAUGCACUGAAAUGCUGUCAAGUUCCCUGUUUCUGCUGUUCCUGCUGUGGCUGUUACAGCCCCAUGGGACAUGGGGCUACUAGACGGGAUGAACAUUUUCUGACCAUGUCCCAGCCACCCGGCUUCUGUACCUCCCUCUGCUGGUAGCCCCCUUCCUCCUUUUAAAUGUCUCUAAGACUGUUAUCUCCCUAGCAUCAUUUGGAUUCCACUUGUCCCAAUUCAACAUUUAGAGAUUGUCUAACUAGAAGAGGCUUGCAGACUGCAUGGGAUACCAGGUUCCUAAAUUCAGGGUUUUAUUAAGAGGCAUAAUAAAAUCCAGAGGUUUACACCAUUCCUAGCAGAUGUGUUUACAGCAGGACUGGACCUCCAAGGAAUUAGAAGAACAUUAUUGAGCUAGAAACUCAUCAUUCGUUUCUUUUUUUAGGGGAGGGCAGAGGAAGAGGGAGAGAAUCUGAGAAUCUUAAACAGACUCCAGAGCCCAAGGGGGGCUCAAUUUCACAAUCCUGAGAUCAUGACCUGAGCCAAAAUCAAGAUUCAGCCGCUUAACUGACUGAGCUAUCCAGGCACCCUGGAACUCAUCAUUCUUGAUGCAAACCCACCAUUGGUAGGGAUCUAAAGAAAUGUAUUCACUCAAAUAUUUGCCUCAGUUCUGGCUUUGUGUCAUUCCUGUUGCAGCACUAUAGAUAUAGUAGUAACUAUGACAUGUGAGGUCCCAGAACUCAUGGAGCUAACGUUAUGGUGGGAGAGACAGACAAUAAAAAAAUAAACCACACAUUACAACUUUAGGCAAGAAAAAUAAAGAAAGGGGGCUAUGGAGUGACAGAUAUAGAUCUGUAUGGAUAGGAAGGGCCUUUGCAGAAGUAACAUUUGAACAAAGAAAUUCAAGAAGAGGGAGAACAAGGAGUAGGAAAAACAGAAACAGAGAUGUAAGAGCAAAUGCAAAGAUUCCAAGGCAAGGACAAGCUUAGCAUAUUUGGGAAACAAAUGAGUACCAGUAUGGCUAGAAAAAAGUAGCCAAAGAAGGGUGUCAUAGAUGGUAGGUCAGAAAAGUAGUCAGAGACCAAAUCAUGUAGAGCCUUUUAGGGCACUGUAAGAAUAUUUCAUUUAGUAAUAUAAUAUGAUUUGUCAUUUUAAAGGUUAUUCUGGCUACUGGAAACAAGGUGUGAGAUUGGAGGUUAUUAGGUAGCACAGGCAACAAUGACUGAAACAAGCAAGGUACAGGUAGGCUUAUGAGGAGUGGUUGGAAUAGAAUUACAUUUUGAAAAUAAGGAUAGCAGGAUUUGGGAUGUGGGGAAAAGAAACAUUUCAAGAACAUCUCCUAGGUUUUUAGCCUUAGUAAUCAGGUGGAUGGUGAUGUCAUUGACUGGAGGAGUGGGUUGGACAGCUUCUGUCUCACCAGAAUGUGAACUACAACAGUCUUGGACCUUGUGUGCCUUGGUUAUUACUGUAUUGGACAGCUGAAGCCUCUCCUCAGGUUCUCUCCACAUUGCAAUUCUUCUUGCCCUGUAGCCACUUGCCCUGCCUCAACUGCUGCUGGAACAGCCAGCUGUGCAUGGGCAGCAAAAUUCUGCCUCCUGAAGUUGACUACACUGCAAGGAUUUGGAUUUCUCAGGACUGGAAAAAGGUUCAGCCCAAAGGAUUAAGCCAACACUGAAGAUUUCAUUGCAGAAGGAGAAAAAGAAUCCAGAUCCUGGUGACAUCAUUGAGCUGCUGAAUCAAUCAGCCUUGAAGCCUUUCUGCUAUGGAAUUUUCUGUUACAAAAUUCAAAUUUUUCUUAUUGUCAAGUUAGUUUGAGUUGAGCUUGUUCAUUAAAUAUAAUUAAAGAAUUUCUCAUUAAGGAUUUUA